rnacentral:rRNA from 1 species
UACAGAGGUGGCAAGCGUUGUUCGGAUUUACUGGGCGUAAAGGGUGCGUAGGCGGUCUCGCGUGUCGGGUGUGAAAUCCCACGGAUCAUCCGUGGAACUGCACUCGAAACUGCGGGGCUGGAGUGCAGGAGAGGAAGGUGGAAUUCUCGGUGUAGCGGUGAAAUGCGUUGAUAUCGAGAGGAACGCCGGUGGCGAAGGCGGCCUUCUGGACUGUAACUGACGCUGAGGCACGAAAGCUAGGGGAGCAAACAGG